UUGGAGGGCAAGUCUGGUGCCAGCAGCCGCGGUAAUUCCAGCUCCAAUAGCGUAUAUUAAAGUUGUUGCAGUUAAAAAGCUCGUAGUUGAACUUCGGGGUUUACUCAUUGGUCAGGCUUAAUUGUCUGUACUGGUGAGAUGAAUCUCUACCUUCUGAGGAACUUUCAUGUCAUUUAUUUGGUGUGAUUGGAAAUCAGGACUGUUACUUUGAAAAAAUUAGAGUGUUUAAAGCAGGCUAACGUCUGAAUACAUUAGCAUGGAAUAAUGAAAUAGGACGGACUGGUUCUAUUUCGUUGGUUUCUAGGAUCACCGUAAUGAUUAAUAGGGAUAGUUGGGGGCAUUAGUAUUCAAUUGUCAGAGGUGAAAUUCUUGGAUUUAUUGAAGACUAACUACUGCGAAAGCAUUUGCCAAGGAUGUUUUCAUUAAUCAAGAACGAAAGUUAGGGGAUCGACGACGAUCAGAUACCGUCGUAGUCUUAACCAUAAACUAUGCCGACUAGGGAUCGGACGAUGUUAAUUUUUUAAUGACUCGUUCGGCGCCUUACGGGAAAC
rnacentral:rRNA from 1 species